UUUGUGUUGGGAGGUUUUGAACUUCUAGUUGUUUUUUUUUUUUAAAUAAAAUAUACAAUAACUUGUUGUGAACUAUAGUCAUUCUAUUAUGCUGUGGUACAUUAGAACUUAUUUUCUUAUUUCUUUAUUUAGGUAUUGUGACCACCUGGGAUUGAACUCAGGGGUGCUUAACCACUGAGCAACAUCCCCAGCCCAUUUUUAUAUGUAAUUAUAGACAGGGUUUCACUGAGUUGCUUAGCACCUCGCUAAAUUGCUGAGGCUGGCUUUGAACUUGCAAUCCUCCUGCCUCAGCCUCCUGAGCCACUGGGAUUACAGGAGUGCACCACCACACCCAGCUAUAACUUAUUCUAUGUGAUUGUAUUUUGGUGCCUGUUAUUCAUCCUCCCUCUACACUCCCUACCCUUUACUCUUCCUAACCUCUGGUGACUGCCAUUCUACUCUCUACUUCAAUAAAACCAACAUUUUUAGUUUCCACAUAUGAAUGAGAAGAUGCAGUAUUUAUUUGUGCUCCCUUUACUCAUUUUAUUUGUUUAUUUUGAGGUGCUGUUUAUCAAACUUAGGGCCCUUGAGCAUAUUAGGCAAGAACCACUGAGCUACACCCAUCAGCUCACUCUUUGCCCAUUUUAAAAGCAGGUUGUCCUUUUAUUGUUGAGUUGUGGGAGGCUUUUAUAUAUUUUGGAUAUUAAAUCCUUAUCUGUUAUAUGAUUUGUAAGUAUUCUCUCCAACUGUGGGGGUUGUCUUUUCAUUCUGUUGGUGAUGUCCUUUGAUACACAAAUGUUAAAUUUUAACAAAGUGAAAUUAAUGUAUUUUUUUCUUUUGUUACCUGUGCUUUUGGUGUCAGAUUUAAGAGUCCAUGCCCAAACCAAAGUCAUAAAGGUUUGUUAGCAUGGUUUCUUCUAUCAGUUUUGUAGUUUUAGCUUUUAGACUUAGAUAUUUGAUCCAGUUAGAGUUAAUUUUUGUAUAUAGUACACUAGAGUUUGAAUAUGGUUUGAGUGACCCUGAAAGUUCAUGUUCUAAGGGUGGCAGUGUUGCAAGAUGCUGUGAAUCUUUCAGAGAUGGGGCCUAGCCCUCAAGAGAGACUAAGGUAGUUCUCGUGAAACCCCUUGGUAGUUCUCAAGAGAGGUUGUUAUAGACUGAAUGGUCCCACCCAGCUCACUUUGAUUUCUGGUUCAAGAAGUGAGGCUUUCUCCAACAUGCCUUCUUGCUAUUUGCCUGGGGGUCCUUUACUAGAGCAUACAAUAUGUAGGGACUUUCAGUCUCCAAAUUUGUGAGCUAAAUAAACCACUUAAGAAGCUGUUUUUUUUCCUGGUCCUAGAAAUUUAAGCCAGAGCCUUCCUUGGGCAUGCUAGACUAUUACUCUACUAUUAAGAUACAUCCUCAGUUCUCUUUUUAUUUUGCCUAUGUUUUCUAAUAUGUUUUUUAGUUGUAGAUGGACACAAUAUAUUUAUUUUUAUGUGGUGCUGAGGAUUGAACCCAGGGCCUCACGCAUGGGAGGCAAGUGCUCUACCACUAAGCUACAACCCCAGCCACUUUGCUGCAUUAUAAUUGUACAUACUGAUGGGAUUUUUUGUUACGUCUUUGCACAUGCACACAGUACACAAUAUAACAAUAUAAUUGGGUGAUUAAAAAUGGUGGUGUAGAGGAAGGCUACAUUCCUAGUUGUUCCAUGGCUUAGAAUCCAAGCAGCAGAAGUACUGUUUUUCUGAGAGGUGGGUGAAAGAGGGAUUUCACUAAAACUCAAUAUUGGACCCUCAGAGUGUCUUAGAGACUCAGAAAUUUGGGCAUAUUAAACAAAGAAGAAAGUCUACAUUGGAGCCAAGUCCUAGGAGCAUGCUAAUCUAAUCUCUCCAGAGCAGACAACACCCAAAAAAGCCCCUGAGACCUGAUUAGACCUAACCCCCACUUGCCAUAACUCCACGCAUAGAACUCUGUAGCAGCCCCACCCUGGGAGUGCAUUGAUCUGGUCUGUGCAGACAAAACUCCAGCUGACAGUACUUCCCAUCCCAUCCUAUCUCAUAUUGGGGAGAAGAGAAGCUGAGACUUAUUUGUACCAGCUUCAGUUUUAGGCUGUUCCAACUGGCAGCUCAGUGAGCAACAUAAAAAGAGGAAGGGGUUCACAAUCUUCAGCCCUUGCUCUCAUUUUCAGUACGUAGCCUAAGAAAAAAUGGAAAUACAGUUGCGCAUAGACAGUGACCAUCUAUUCUCAUCAACUAUUUUGACAACCUCACUGGAAAUGAUUUCUUUAUUUUUCAUUAAGAAUCUUUUUUUGGGGGGUACAGGGGAUUGAACUCAGGAGCACUCACCACUGAGAGCCAGAUCCCCAGCCCUAUUUUGUUUUUUAUUUAGAGACAGGUUCUCGCUGACUUGCUUAAUUAGCCUCGAUGUUGCUGAGGCUGGCUUUGAACUUGUGAUCCUCCUGCCUCAGACUCCCUAGCUGCUG
rnacentral:lncRNA from 1 species